GAUGAAGAACGCAGCGAAAUGCGAUACGUAAUGUGAAUUGCAGUAUUCAGUGAAUCAUCGAAUCUUUGAACGCAUAUUGCGCUCUCUGGUAUUCCGGAGAGCAUGCUUGUUUGAGUAUCAGUAAACACCUCAACUUCCAUAUCUUUUUUGAAAUGGGAGUUGGACUUGAGUGAUCCCAACGCUUUUCCUCACCGAAAAGUGGCGGGUUACUUGAAAUGCAGGUGCAGCUGGACUUUUCUCUGAGCUAUAAGCAUAUCUAUUUAGUCUGCCUAAAAAACAGAUUAUUACCUUUGCUGCAGCUAACAUAAAGGAGAUUAGUUCUUGUGCUGACUGAUGCAGGAUUCACAAAGACAGGCUUCGGCCGACUUUGUAAACUCGAUCUCAAAUCAAGUAAGACUACCCGCUGAACUUAAGCAUAUCAAUAAGCGGAGGA
rnacentral:misc_RNA from 1 species